GUCCCUGUAGUGCAAUGGCUAGGGCGUUAGACUUCUAAUCAAAAAUCGUGGGUUCGAAUCCCACCUGGGACG